UAGACACUUCCUGACCUUUACGUCUGAUACAUUCUUUGAGAGAACUUCUCCACCGACCCCGUCACCUGGAUUGGAUCACCGACCUCUCCCAAGAGGGGCCUGGCUUCCUCCUCGCUGGGGAAACGAAGGAAACUAGGAUGUGACAAAUAAAGGAAGCCUUUUCAUGCUCUAUGUCCACUGGCGUCGGGCAAGCCCCGGUGGAAGUCCAAGGAAAAGAGUCUAAGACCCAAACAGAUGGUUUGCGCCAAAGUUCUGAAGUGUAUCAGACGUGAAUAAAGGUCUUCGAUUCCCUGCCCCCUGCCCGAGGACCUGCCUCCUCCCUGCCCGAGGACCAAGCUUCAGAAGAACUGCACAUGGGAGGAAAUACCAACCGCUUAACUUCUUCAGAGACAACCUCUAACCCGGCUCACCACCACGCUAGCUAAAAAAGGGCCCUCUCCCAGGGAAGAUCCCGGAGGAAGAGUGGGAAUUCACCCUCCCCUUGGGGGAGGAGUGCUUUCUCUACCCUUAAUUUAUGAACUGAGAAAAAUCCUAACAAGCCUACUAUGAAAUAAAGAUGCCCUUAACCCAUUUAUGCCUAGUGUUCCAUUAUUGGAACGCUAAGCUUGUGGGAGUUAUUUAUAUCCUACUGCUCAAAACCAUUGCCAAGGUCUGAUUUUUCACACAAAAAAAUUUGCAACCUUCGGUAUAAAUGGGUUAAUUCCAAAGCCUAAAGCAACCUAAGACAUCUCAGUCCACAGUGAGCCCAGCCUCCAGCUGCAGGUGUUGGCUUCCACACAGCGCAGGACCAAGCAGUUUUGUGCUGAGUCCAUCUCUGUGGCCACCGGCCACCCGGUGCUGGGGCUGGUCCCCAGCUCAUCUGCACAGGGUUGGUGGAAGGGGCCAGAGGCAGCCUGGGCUCUGAAUUCCACCCAGACCUGGGGAAUAGGCCUGGUAGGGGAGUGAAUGCCAGGGCCGCUGGUGGCCUUGGCUCUUCUGCACGGCAGCAACUGUGGUGGCCUGAGAAUAAGGAGUUACCAUAAGGACGUAGAGGUAGAUCACCAGAGCCGCAUCCACACCCAGAGAUAGACUCACACAUCUGUGGUGUGUUCAUUUCAACAAAGGUGCAGAGAAAAUUCCAUGGAGGAAAAACAAUAGCCUAUCAACAAAUGGUGUUAGAACGAUUGGAUAUCUCACGCAAAAAAUUAACUUUUAUCUGUAUCUCAUGUUAUGUAAAAAUGGAACCAAAAUAGAUUAUAAACAUAAUGUAGAAUAUAAAAGAAAUUAUGGUAAAAAUCAUAGGAAAAAAAUCUGUGCGACCUUAGUUAGGCAAAGAUAUUUUAAAUUUGACAGCAAAAGUACAAUCCAUAAAAGAAAAGAAACUGAUAAAUUGGACAUACUCAAAGUGAAGCACAUAUGCUAGUCAGAAGACACUACUGUUAAGAGAAUAAAAAAUAUAAGCCACAGAUCUGGAGAAAACAUUUGCAAACCAUAUAUCUGAAAAAAAUGGCUUGUACUUCACAUCUAAAAAGACUCAAAAGUCAAUAAUAGGAAAGAAGAGACAAUUUAAAAUGGGCAAAAUAGUUAAAAAGACAGAUCAGCCAAGAAGAUAUAUGGAUGAAAAUUAAACACAUUAAAUACAUCCGAUGUCAAUAACCCUGCUCCCUACCGGUUAGACAGCUGAUGUCAGAAAGGCCGACCCCAUCGCGCGUGCGCGAGCACAAGUGGGCAGGAACAGGAAAUGCCACGAGGACGCUGAAUCAAACCUGCCUACGUGAAGGGCUGAAGACGCGACAUUUCCUGACAGAGGUUGCUAUGUCUAGCAGCAUGAGCCUCUCCAUGAAGGCAUGAGGGGAGAAGACCUCUUCUCUACCUUGUCCCAGGUCUUCCAGGAUUGGUGUCUCCUUUGAGAAGCAGGACUGCUUUUAUAAGUAAGAAAAAUAUUGGUUCUUCAUUUUCAAAAUAACGUCUCAGCUACGUGUCCAAGUGUGUCACAUUGCAACAACUGCCCAGCUGUGGGGCUGGUCUUGGGGAGCAGAGGGGACUGAGGGGCCUGCCUCAUUACGAGCUGCACAGGAGGGCUGAGCUUGCAUUAGCAGCUUCUCCCUCCAGUGCAGGAGAACGCAUUAAGAUUUACGGUUCAUCUGAAAGUAGCUUAGAAAGAAACCAUAUGCUCUUAUCAUCUCUUGCAGAAGUUGCAGACAAGUUAUUUAAAAAUCUCGUUUUCUUAAACUGUCUUUAUUGCAAAGAAAAGAGCCUCUGGGAUCCACUUCAAGUAGUCAUUGUGGAGGGUACAGCAAGCCAGCCCUGGGCUAAGCAUUUACCCCACUAAUUCACCACCACAGCAAGGUGGAGAUCCUUGAGUUUUUGCCUGUGUUUCACAAAUGAGGAAUCCGAGGAGCAGAGACCUGAAGUGACCUGUCCAGGACACAAGAGUGAACCCGGGGACAAAGCCAACCCGCUCUGCUGGGGCUAGUGCCUUUCCACACUCCUCUGUUUCUAUAUUUAAACCGAGUGAAAGGAGACAUGGAAAAUACAUUAGCCCAUUUGGAGGUGAAUUUGAUACACUCUCAUUUGUCAUAGAGGGUAGAAAAAGAUGGAAAAGAGAAACGGGCUGGUGGGGAGGAGGGAAGAGCAGAGACCAGGGCCUCAGCCCAACCUCCAUCCGCUUCCCACUUUCUCUCCCUGUCCCUUUCCUGGAGGCCUUGCUUGCUCCUCACAAAGCUGUCAUUCUUAUGCCUUGCAUGAAUUUGGGUAUUUUAACUUGUCUAUUAAAAAUAUAAAUCUGGCCCCAUAUAUAUGCUUAAUUAAUAUUAUCAUGUAUCCCCUUCAAAAUACUCUGUGGCCAAAGUUUGUGCCCUUUUAUGCAGGAUCGGGAAUGGAUUCCCUAAUAAAUGUCUUGCAUUUUUCCCAUCA
rnacentral:lncRNA from 1 species